GCAACAGCAUGCAGUCUACUUUUGUACUAUCCCAUGGAAAUGCUGCCUGUCUGGAACGUGACAUUCAACAGUAUGGCUCUAUUAAAGACAAUCUUUGAAGAGUAUUUCCCAUUUCCACCACAUGAGUGGCAGAACAAGCUCCAGGUAGAGGUUGUUCUGUCACAGUGUCCUGAAAUGACCCAGAUAUACAAAACAGAUGAUGGAGAUGACAGAGAUGAAAGAUAUUGCAAGAGUUACACAAAUGCCUGAAAGCAUAUUAAUCACAAAUUAAUCUGAAAAACAUUAAAACUAAUCUCAACAUCUAAUGAAGCACUCAUGUCUUCAGAAAGUAACACUGUAGGUAAGUUUAUUUUUUAACAUUAAAAAAUAACCCCUCCAAAAGAUAACUUCUGCUGGAAAAAAGAGGCAUAUUUGUGAGUUUCACUCCAUUUUUUAAAAAUGGGAGCUAAUGGGAAAAGUACACAAAGGAAUUUGGUCAUGAGAUGGGAGGUGCAGAAGAAAUAAAAUUCCAAAUGUUCAAAUAGAUGGAAGGCUG
rnacentral:lncRNA from 1 species